rnacentral:tRNA from 4 species
GCGGACGUGGCUCAGUUGGUAGAGCACAACCUUGCCAAGGUUGGGGUCGCGGGUUCGAGUCCCGUCGUCCGCUCCA